rnacentral:tRNA from 1 species
CGCGGAGUGGAACAGUUGGCAGCUCGUCGGGCUCAUAACCCGAAGGUCGUAGGUUCAAGUCCUGCCUCCGCAACCA